AGUGAACGCUGGCGGUAGGCCUAACACAUGCAAGUCGAACGGCAGCACAGCAGUAGCAAUACUGUGGGUGGCGAGUGGCGGACGGGUGAGGAAUACAUCGGAAUCUACCUUUUCGUGGGGGAUAACGUAGGGAAACUUACGCUAAUACCGCAUACGACCUACGGGUGAAAGUGGGGGACCUUCGGGCCUCACGCAGAGAG
rnacentral:rRNA from 1 species